CUCCUGGAAACGGGUGGUAAUGCCGGAUGCUCCCGCGCCCCGCAUGGUGUGGUGGGAAAGCUUCGGCGGUAUGGGAUGGGGUCGCGUCCUAUCAGCUUGUUGGUGGGGUAAUGGCCUACCAAGGCUUCGACGGGUAGCCGGCCUGAGAGGGCGACCGGCCACAUUGGGACUGAGAUACGGCCCAGACUCCUACGGGAGGCAGCAGUGGGGAAUAUUGCGCAAUGGGGGGAACCCUGACGCAGCGACGCCGCGUGCGGGAUGGAGGCCUUCGGGUUGUGAACCGCUUUUGGUAAGGAGCAAGCGAGAGUGAGUGUACUUAUCGAAUAAGGACCGGCUAACUACGUGCCAGCAGCCGCGGUAAUACGUAGGGUCCAAGCGCUGUCCGGAAUUAUUGGGCGUAAAGGGCUCGUAGGCGGCCUGUCGCGUCUGGUGUGAAAGCCCGUGGCUUAACUGCGGGUCUGCGCUGGAUACGGGCGGGCUAGAGUGCGGUAGGGGAGAAUGGAAUUCCCGGUGUAACGGCGGAAUGUGUAGAUAUCGGGAAGAACACC
rnacentral:rRNA from 1 species